CUCAACUUGACUUUCUGUUUGCUGGUUACUGCUUUGUAGGCCCUCCCGAUGGUUCAUUGUGCCUGGAAGAGAAAUAAUGGAUUGUCUGGAGCUCCCCUGCUAGCAACAGCACAGACAGGAGGCAGAGCUGCUGCUGUAGUGAGCUGGUAAAAGAAAAAGCACAAGCAGCUCGGAAAGGUCGUCAUCAAGGAGAAGAUUGACAGUGGAUGCAGCAAGCUUAACAUAGCCCUCUGAUUCUUCUGCUCUGGAGUGAUAGAUACUUCAAGAAGAAAGGAAUUCCCCUAGUGGCUUCAUUGCUUUCCAGGCAGAAACCAGCAGUCGUGGGACACUGAUGAGAGCAAGACUGUCUGCUUAGCUGAACAGUUUACUGAGGAAGUACAGCCAGUCCUGUUGUCAUGCAACUUGCUGCUGUGGUUGCUGCCUCUGGAGGCUCUUCCUGCCACCACGCUGGGGAGUCCCACAGGGUUCCUCAUUUGCACUGCAUCUUGGGCACCUGCUGUACUUCAGCACCAGCCAGUCCUCUCCAGACUCUCAGAUCCAGAGGAAGACUUGAAAGCAUGUGAGACCCAGCAAGCAGGUCUGCUCACAAGUGAGGCAAGCUGGUCAGCUGUGCUGUGCAGCACUGAACGACAGUUCUAGGAAGCACUUGUCCUUCUGAGAUAGCAACCCCUUCUCCAAAAGAAGGCUCAGGGGUGAGUACCUUCCAAAACAGCCAGACAACACCGUGGCGAAUUUCAGCCAGAGAUGUCAGGUUGGUGAUCUCCUGCAGUGAAGACUCGCCCCGGUUCCUGCAGUCCUUCAGCACGAGUACCAAACCCAAGCACAGUCUUCACCAGCUCUCACAACGCAGUCCUGGGUUGCUGCAUUUGCUGACCACUUGACUCUGCUCACGAAGGACCCUCGGCACAGACAGGCAGAACUGCUGCUGCUGAGCUGUUUUUUCCCACAGGCAAGCAGGUAAUCCUAGUGCUGCUCUCAAACCUGACGGCUCAAUCUCUUUGGCUACGGUUGGUGGUUCCAGAACACGGGAGGUUAUUAUUAUGCCACAGGAGAAAGAGGUGUUAAAGUUGAUUAAUAUUAUGGGGUUUGGUCAGGCUAAUGUGGGGCUACAUGCCAAGUGACUCAAGCAGCAUCUAGACCUCAGUGUGUUCUGGUGGAAAAAGCAUCAUUUCAGGUGCCAGGAGAGCUUUGCUGGCCAAAAUUCAAGGUACCAGCUUGGAGUCUUUUGAGGAGUCCCCCAGGGCCAGAUGUAGGGUUAAGGGAACUUUUAAGGUAUCAGCUUCAGAAUUGAGUGCCUAAAUUUUGCCUACGUUGCUUUCUAGAAAGUCCUAAGUGGGCAGCUGUUCAGCUCAGAGCUUGUGAAAGCAAGAAGAAAGUAAGUAAAGGCCAUACUGAAGUGUAUAGAUAUCAGCUGAGGAAGGUCAGGCUGUUGAGAGACUCUACUGUGCCUGCAUAUAUAAACAAGACAAAAGAAACCCCACUUGAUUAAAACCAAAUGAGCCCUGUUGUCCUGACUUGCCCAAAACAGCUCCAGCCCUGAAUUCAAGUUGAUGGGCACUGGAUAAUUCCUGUGUCCUAAACGAGUAUUUCUAGCGAUAAGCGACUCAUUUCUGUGUCAGCCUAUCUUUGAGUCUACCAGUUAAUUCACCAUUUUAAAAAAUCACCAUUCCAAAGUGUUAUUCCUCCUCUAGCUACAUCUAGAGCUCGAUGGGGUACACUGGCUGGUGGGGGCGAUGCCUCGACAAGGUUUUCAACUCAGAGCUGGCUCACAUCCUGACAGGUGUGAGCAGAGAGAGCAAGCUGUCCUGCCCCCCUGGAGACAAGAGUACAUCUGCUCCUCAGCCCAGGGUGCAGAAGACAGGCAGCACACCAGCCCUUGCUCAGCAUAAAAAUGCCAAGUGAGCCCGAUUAGCCUUAAGCUGCAGCUUUGAUGGCAAGAGGUCUGCCCUGAUGUUGUGGGUACCUCUCGUUUCAAGCUCUCUGUUCUUAAAAAAAAAUACUGUUAGUGUUUAUACAAUUUCCAGUUGAUUUUACCAGUCUCUCCUGUGUAUUCUCUCUGGUAGAGAGAAAAAAGAGGCAGCCAUAUAUUGUCUUCUAGUCACUAGCUGGUCCUCCUUUAAGGACACUGAGACACUUUUUGUGCAUUGUUUCCCUGCAUAUGUGGGCAGCUUUACUACUUCAUCCCCCUCAGGACCACUUAACAACAUCAGCAAAGCAAUUAAGUGUAGUUUUCAGGAAAAUGCCAGAGGCAUUACACUGUCUGGAUGGGAGUCUCAACCCAAUUAUUUUCAGCUAGUUGUGAACUGUGGAAAGUGGACUUUACUUCAUUAUAACUUCAGCUCCCACUGAUUAAAAGUCUAGCGUGUUACAGACGGUAAGGAAAAAUGAAACAAUUAAACUUUCCAUCAAUAGAAUUGCUGCAUAUUCUUCAACAUAGGGGUUUACUUCUCUCCAGAGAAGUGAUUAAAAUGAACUGAUUGAACUAUAAUUUGAUUGACUGAAGAGCCUCAAUCCAUUGCACUAAAGCUUAAAUUCCAUCUUAUUGCUCUAUUUAACUGACUGUAAGAUAUCACAGAUGGUCUUGCAAACCUCUUGCACAGUCUUCCAGCUGAAAUGCCUUGCUGCUCACAGGCUGCAGUAGGUCCUGGGCUUGGUCUGCUGUGUGCACAGGGGAUUGACAGUGAAGAAAAGGGACAAUGACACUAAAGAGGCAACAUUGAUACAGCUUCAAAAAAAUCAGGAAAGGGCUGUUAUGUCAUCAGGUGUCUGGGACCUAUUACAUCAUUUGGGGAUUCUAAACUCCAUUGGAGAAGAAAUAAAUGCAACAGACAAGACAGAAUAACUUCCCAGGUUAUGUCCUACUGCAGAGCUGUCUUGAGCAAGGUGUGAAGUUGCCAGAUGCCAAGGUUGGUAAGGCAUGCAUAUGUAUGACUCUGCUAGCAGCUACUCAGAAGGCACAUGGAGUCUGGUCUCCCUGUGACCUGUGGUGGCAGUGAAUCAGCAUGAUUGGAUUCUAGUCCAAAGACUCUUUCUUAGAAGGUGGGCAAGUUUUUCAGGCUUGCUUAGCCUGAGGCCUUCAUCUCCACAGGUGAGACAAGCGUGCUGCACAGUUAAGGCUGCCUAUUGCACAGGGAAGUCUUGUGAAAGUCAAGUAAGGUAAAAACCCUGCUUCCUUCUGUCAACCAGCUACUCAGAUGCUCAGAAAGAAAUUUCAUGGAAUCUUGUUCUGCUUAUGAAGAAGGAAUGGCAGUGCCAGCUGCUAUGAUGAGGUUGUCCCUCUUCUCUAGAACACCUGCUUUAUCUAUUCCCAUCUUGUACUCUGAAAUGCAGCACUGUAUUGUACUUGAAAUGGCACCACUGCAACAUGGAGUAACAAGAAACUACAGUGCUAAGUUGCAGUGAGAACACCAGAUAUUGGUGAUGAUAGUAAUAUUCUGGUAAUUGUGUAAUUAGGCUGGGUAAGAUGUGCAGCUAAAGAUGGGCAACAGUUGGGUUAAAUACUCAGUGUACUUGCUCUAACAGGCAGCUCAAAAUCCAGAUGAAGUCAAGAUGUUUUGCCAGUAACAUCACCAAGAACCAGUAUGUGCACUGCUCGAGCCAUAAUAUUUAUUCCUGAGCUCAACUUACCGUUGAGGUUGGCACUUCUGGCUGGGACUGAUGGAUGAGGCUGGGGCAUCAUAACUAGUUAGCCUAUACACGGUGUUUUUUUAGCUUGGACAUUUGGUUUCUAAUUGACAAAGUUUUCUGGUCUUAAUAAUUUGUAGGGUAUAGCAUAACUCCUGGUGUGGGUGAGGCAAAAGCUGCAUGUACUGGGGGUAUGGAGGGGAUAUUGAUCUGUUCAAGUGCUGCCUCUAUGUGAUGUUGAUGGAACAUGUGUGACAAAUGGUACUUGGCACUUCAUGACUGUCUGGUAUUAUUGGCUUUACCUUAGUUUCCUAUUGUAUGUUGAUUAGCAGUCUCUAUAAGUGUGAUAGUCUACCUCAACAUCUGUAACUUGUAAUACAGACAUCUAGCAACAGCAGCUUCUGCAUGGGAGACGUGAGCAAAUGUACAACUCAGUGCUGCUGGAGGUUGCAGGAUGGUGGAUUUGGUUCCUGUGCACAGCUUCAUGUACAGACACAAUGGGUAAGCAGAGCCCCAGCCAGCCUGAGUGUCCAGUCAGUAUUUAUUUGUAUGUCAUUACAUAUUGUAAUUGAAUGAUAAAUAUUGUAUAAACAAGACUCAUGGCAAUUAACUGUGUAUUUGAUGUUUUAUUUCCUGCAGUCUAAUUUUCUGACUUAGAGCACCAGUGUAAGGUUAUUGAGGUGUUAAUUGCUGGGCAGGACCAGAAAGCAGUAAAACCUGAAGUGUGAGAGCAGCCUGGAGCUUCUGUUGCCAGGUGGGGCAGAUGGUGAGGCUGUCCCUCCCUCUGUUGGAUGUGCUGCCAA